rnacentral:rRNA from 1 species
AACUUAAAGGAAUUGACGGGGGCCCGCACAAGCGGAGGAACAUGUGGUUUAAUUCGAUGAUACGCGAGGAACCUUACCUGGGCUUAAAUGUAGGUUGCAUAACUUAGAAAUAGGUUUUCCCUUCGGGGCUACUUACAAGGUGCUGCAUGGUUGUCGUCAGCUCGUGCCGUGAGGUGUCGGGUUAAGUCCCAUAACGAGCGCAACCCCUAUCGUUAGUUGCCAGCGGGUCAAGCCGGGGACUCUAGCGAGACUGCCACCGUAAGGUGAGAGGAAGGUGGGGAUGACGUCAAAUCAGCACGGCCCUUAUGUCCAGGGCUACACACGUGUUACAAUGGCCGAUACAAAGGGCAGCUACCGGGCGACCGGAUGCUAAUCUCAAAAGUCGGUCCCAGUUCGGAUUGGAGUCUGCAACCCGACUCCAUGAAGUUGGAUUCGCUAGUAAUCGCGCAUCAGCCAUGGCGCGGUGAAUACGUUCCCGGGCCUU